CCCUUAGAUGUUCUGGGCCGCACGCGCGCUACACUGACGAAUGCAACGAGCUUAUAACCUUGGCCGAAAGGUCUGGGUAAUCUCCAAAUUUCGUCGUGAUGGGGAUAGAUUAUUGCAAUUAUUAAUCUUCAACGAGGAAUGCCUAGUAAGCGCAAGUCAUCAGCUUGCGUUGAUUACGUCCCUGCCCUUUGUACACACCGCCCGUCGCACCUACCGAUUGAAUGGUCCAGUGAAAUCUCGGGACGGCGGCUUGGUCGCUUGCGUCCGACUGCUGAAACUUGAUUAAACCAUAUCAUUUAGAGGAAGGUGAAGUCGUAACA
rnacentral:rRNA from 1 species